GACAAAAAUAUUUGUUACCAACAUUUCGGUAAUAAUUAUUUUAACAAUUGCAUCAGAAUUGCUGCUGGAUCUGAUUUCGAAUGAUAAAAUAUCGCUCAAUUUGAUUGGUCAAUUUUGCGGCUGCGUUACAGCUUCUGGAUUCUUGAGGCUCAGUUUGCCCAAUCUCGGUUACUCAAGUAGUCAAGUAGUUCUUCUUUGGAGGCCAGAUGAAGCACUACUCAUCUGGCCUCCAGAAAACAACUAAAUCAAGUCAAAUACAUCUUUUAGUAGAAUACUUCACAAGUUUUACGGUCUGGUUCAGAGCAUUUUAAAACUGCAAUUCAUCGGACACCAAUGCGGCUCUUCAGUAUGAACUGGAAGACUACCUGCGUUCAGUGAAUCUAUUGGGAGACCAGGGCGAAGGCCUACUGUGGGAAACUGCGGCAGACAUGGGGAGAAUCUCCACUUCAGAUGCGUUAUAUUGGAGUGAAUUCUAUUUUCUUCUAAGCGACCUGGGGUGGCGAAUAGUAUCCCCGAAUAUAACUAUCUCCACACAAGAAACAAGAAUCAAGAAACUCCGAAAUCGAAAUGUCAACAUUCCUAGUACCUAUUCAUAUUAUUUUGGUAUUUGAUGAAAGUGAAAGUGCAUGGAAUAAUAAACUCUGGAUUAAUUAUUACGGUAGCAAAUUAACUAGUAAUAGUUUUUGCAAUCCAAAGUUUAUUAUUCUAUGACCUUGUUCUGAUGGUUGUUUCUUGUGGUUCACUAGCGAGGAACUUUUUUUAAAUAUUCUAGAUCUUUAUUGGUAACCGAAUUUAGGUCACUGUUUGAAAUCGUUUGUAAAUUCAAUCAAUAUACGUUUCAGGAUUUUAAUACACUCUUAAACAUUUAAUAUUUGUAACAAAAAUAUGCUGCUUUAAAUUUACUGAAAGAUGUAUUGUUAAGAUAUGAAAUUUUCUUUUUCGAUUUAUAUUCAUUUUUUUCAUUUUGUUUUACAAUAAAGUAAUAUUCACGCUUUUCAA